UGUUUGUAAUUGUAAAUCAGGGAAGAAGAAAUUGUGGAAGACAAUAUCUUUAGAAUACAAUGGUAUAAUCAGACUCAAGUUUACAUCAAUGGAUUUUAUGUUGAUGUUUAAGGGGUUAGAAAGUGUAUGAAAGACAAUCGAAAACCAAAAUAGAUCAAGGAAAAUGUAACUAGCAAGGUCGAAGUAUCUAGGUUGAGAGCUUGAUAUUGAUUAUAAGUGCAUGCAUUGAAGAUACAAGUGGAGCUUGUAGAUGUCAAUAGUCAUCGGUGACUAACUAGAUGACAAAGUCACUGAUGCUGGAUGCAUUAGUCGUUACUACAUAAGGCAUGCAGAGUGGUGGGUUACCAUGUGGAUGCAAGAUAUGCUGAGAUGGAGAAGGAUAGACUGAGGGUUUAUGUCUUGACGUAGUCGUUGAAGUAGUUGCUGAGGCAGUGUGUGUCAGAGAGUGAACCAGGAGGCAUGCGGAGUGGUAAAGACCAUGUGGACGCAAGAUGCUAAGCUGACGUGGGAUAAACUUAAGGAGCAAGUUUAUACCGUGGAGAAAAGGCAAGAGA
rnacentral:lncRNA from 1 species